rnacentral:tRNA from 2 species
GCGUAGCUCAGUUGGUAGAGCAACUGACUUUUAAUCAGUAGGUCCAGGGUUCGAGCCCCUGCG